rnacentral:lncRNA from 1 species
GGCCUCGGAGCUGGUUGCUGCUCACAGGCAGAGAAACGCUGAAGUGUUCCUGAAAACUCGUCAAUUACAGGAAAAGCUGCAUGACUGCAUCUUUAGAGGAGAUGGUUUCGCUGGUUCCAAGGAUUCUGUUAAUGAGAAAACUCCACAGGCCAGCAUUCUGUAAGCUGGCUCCAGCAGCCCAGUUGACAGUGGCUGAGGCCAGUUCCUGAUCAUCCUGAGGAACACCAGUCAACUCACAAAUCCCUGAGAGGGAAGCCUCCAGGAUCCUAGAGUAGAUGACCAGAUGCCCAGGCGCAGGAUCCACGGAAGUCAAAGUCAAGCUUUCUAGGCCGACAGCUGUCCUCAGUCGCUUGGUCAGAUAGUCUAAUCUCAGUUUUUCAGGAAUCAAGGCCAGAGGUGUGAACAAGGUGUCAGCUCUGAAGGGAAGGUUUUUCUAAGGAUGGACCCACACCAGAAGGUCCCUAGCAUAUAUAAUGGGGAUACUUUACAAACUCCUGAGUAUGAAAAAGUCUCUCAGUAUGAGGACCAGUUAGAAAGGCAUGAGGGUAGGCACAUGGAAGAAAGACGGUAUAAAUGCAAUGAAUGUGGAAAGAAGUUUGCCCAGAGCUCAGGCCUUGUUCGACAUCAGAGAAUCCACACUGGAGAGAAACCCUAUGAGUGUGAUCACUAUGGAAAAGCCUUUAGCGUGCGCUCAACCCUCACUGUGCAUGAAAGAAUCCACACUGGUGAGAAGCCUUAUACUUGUAAUGAGUGUAAGAAAGCCUUCAGUGUAAGGGCACACCUGAUUAUACAUCAGAGAAUCCACAAUGGAGAGAAACCCUAUGAAUGUAAUGAGUGUGGCAAAGCAUUUAGUGUGAGCUCAGACCUUAUCAAACAUCAGAGAAUCCAUACUGGUGAGAAACCUUAUGAGUGUGAUGAGUGUGGAAAAGCUUUCAGUGUGAGCUCAGCCCUCAUCAAGCAUCAGAGAAUCCAUACAGGAGAAAAGCCGUAUGAGUAUAAGGAAUGUGGGAAGGCCUUCUAUGUGAACUCAGCACUUAUUAAUCACCAGAGGAUUCACUCUGGAGAAAAGCCCUAUGAGUGUGGAGAGUGUGGAAAAGCAUUCAGCCAGAUCUCAACGCUUAUUCAUCACCAGAGAAUCCAUACUGGAGAGAAACCGUAUGAGUGUGAAGAGUGUGGGAAAGCUUUCCAUGGGAGUUCUAACCUUACUAAACACCAGAAAACACAUGCCAAAGGAAAGUGUCAUCAGUGAUUUAUGUGGCAAAUAUAUUCCAAAGGGCUUUUGUUACAUCGGAAGAUACCAUUGAAAGAAGAGUAUGGUUAAAGUUAAUGCCUUAAUUGACACUUCACCCUUGAAAUACUGAAGUGAGAAGUCACUCAAAAGUAACUCCAUCAGCAUUGUUUCUAAGGCUCUAAAAUCACAUCUACUUCUGAGAAGAAUGGAGAUUUACAGACAGUCAUCUGGGUGGAGGACACCCUUUUGGGAUCAGCACUGAAAGUGACGCCAUAUCCCACUCCAAACCAGCACAACUAUAAAUACUAAGCAGUGAGUGGUAUUCUGAAGACUUUGAAGGAGGAGCUAUUUCUGAAAAUAAAUUUAUUUUGUUGAAGAAUUUAACCAUUAAGCGAUC